rnacentral:misc_RNA from 1 species
CGGCCGCGAAGUGUUGUGCGUGUGUGUCUUCUACACUGCAGCCCGCAUGCCCUUGUAGAAAAGGCACCACGGCUGCUUUCUUCUGCGCUGUUCUUCCGACAGGUGGCGGGCACACAUUUGCCGCGUUGUGCCCCUUGCCCACUCUUCUUAGCUGUGCGUCCUCUCUUAUCACCAUGAGACGAGGCGCCAUGCUGCUUCUAAGGGUCGAGCGGCCACUGACCCCCGGCAGUCUGCUGCAGACUAUCCGCAGUGAUCCAGGGAUGACGACCACUUACUACGCCAAUCGCUACUUUGGCCAAGAGAACGUGAUGCAGUUGAACCACCUCCUCUGGGGCGUCCUGAAACGCAAUGGCAAGGUAGACAUUGACCGCGCCGACGGCAAGGACGCUGCACCGCGCUGGUACCCGUUGUUUUCGAACCCGAAGCGGCAUCAGGUGCGACCCCACAACCCAGAUGAGGAGGACCUGUCAUUUCUCCGGAAUACCCCGCCGACGGCUCCAACGGCACCCGAAAUGCCUGCCGACACUCCUGCGUCGGUUUCUCGCGCGGACUCUUGUGAGCUGGAGAGCGCCAUCGUAGAACUCGUGCAGGCGGUGCCGGGCAAGGACAUUCACUUCUACAUAAUGGAGCUGCCUUUUCAGUACCGGCGCAGCGCCCCGAGGGCGUUCAAGCGGCUGCGUGAAACGGGGCUGCUGAUGCGCGAGGCCACCAACUUAGGCACCUAUGUGUGGCGGUAAAGGAGAGCACAGCAGGACUGAGAGGGAGACGACCGCAAUAACAAAAGGAUGGGCAACGGGGCGUUCUUACGGUGGCUUUUCGCAGUGCUCAAGCCACCUGCCCUACCCUGGUUUCCCUCCCUCCAUCAGCGAUCUCCUGCCCACCCAGUCUGUCUUCCUGCGCUGGCAUUUCAUCUCUACCGCUAGCACGACGCUACGCCGAAGUUGAUGAUACAAGAAUCCUGGAAACGUUUGCGCGUACGCGUAGUUUUGUCUCUGCCUUUGUUGUUGUGUGUCGCAGUAAACGACUGAGCCGCCGGAGCAAGUCAAAUGAUGGCGUGGUUGGUGGAGCUCCUCUUCGUGUUGCCACUGCCGCAAAUCACACUCCUCAGAGUGGAAGCGAUCAAUGGCGAGAGAGCGGGUUGUUUCACGGUAAAGGGUCUUCUUCACCUCUGGAAGCUGACACGCCGCCCUCCCCCUCCGUUUUUCCUUUCUGCAAAGCCAUAUGAUGCUUGCGGCGAUAGCUGAGGAUAGGGUGGGGUUAACAUGGUGUAAACGCUCCCCUCUUUCUGGUUGUCUGCCACCGAUCUCGCUUUCACUGGAUCUCCUGCGCAGCGGCUGCGUGCUUUGUCAGAGACUGCCUCGCACCUUCUUCUCGUCGUUUUCCGCCGUCGUUGUGGUUCUCCAUAUCGUCUGUUCCGUUGAGUCCAAAAUGCGAAAG